GCCCCUACGGGAGGCAGCAGUGGGGAAUAUUGCACAAUGGGGGGAACCCUGAUGCAGCGACGCCGCGUGAGUGAAGAAGUAUUUCGGUAUGUAAAGCUCUAUCAGCAGGGAAGAAGAUGGCGGUACCUGACUAAGAAGCCCCGGCUAACUACGUGCCAGCAGCCGCGGUAAUACGUAGGGGGCAAGCGUUAUCCGGAUUUACUGGGUGUAAAGGGAGCGUAGACGGCAGCGCAAGUCUGGAGUGAAAUGCCGGGGCCCAACCCCGGAACUGCUUUGGAAACUGUGCGGCUCGAGUGCGGGAGAGG
rnacentral:rRNA from 1 species